rnacentral:rRNA from 1 species
UACGGAGGGUGCAAGCGUUAUCCGGAUUCACUGGGUUUAAAGGGUGCGUAGGUGGGCAGUUAAGUCCGUGUUGAAAUCUCCGGGCUCAACCCGGAAACUGCCAUUGAUACUAUCUGUCUUGAAUAUCGUGGAGGUAAGCGGAAUAUGUCAUGUAGCGGUGAAAUGCUUAGAUAUGACAUAGAACACCAAUUGCGAAGGCAGCUUACUACCCGAAUAUUGACACUGAGGCACGAAAGCGUGGGGAUCAAACAGG